rnacentral:rRNA from 1 species
GUGGGGAAUAUUGCACAAUGGGCGAAAGCCUGAUGCAGCAACGCCGCGUGAGGGACGACGGCCUUCGGGUUGUAAACCUCUUUUAGUAGGGAAGAAGCGAAAGUGACGGUACCUGCAGAAAAAGCACCGGCUAACUACGUGCCAGCAGCCGCGGUAAUACGUAGGGUGCAAGCGUUAUCCGGAAUUAUUGGGCGUAAAGAGCUCGUAGGCGGUCUGUCGCGUCUGCUGUGAAAACUGGAGGCUCAACCUCCAGCCUGCAGUGGGUACGGGAAGACUAGAGUGCGGUAGGGGAGAUUGGAAUUCCUGGUGUAGCGGUGAAAUGCGCAGAUAUCAGGAGGAACACCGAUGGCGAAGGCAGAUCUCUGGGCCGUAACUGACGCUGAGGAGCGAAAGCGUGGGGAGCGAACAGGAUUAGAAACCCGGGUAGUCC